rnacentral:rRNA from 1 species
UACGAAGGGGGCUAGCGUUGUUCGGAAUCACUGGGCGUAAAGCGCACGUAGGCGGACUUCUAAGUCAGGGGUGAAAUCCCGGGGCUCAACCUCGGAACUGCCUCUGAUACUGGGAGUCUCGAGUCCGGAAGAGGUGGGUGGAAUUCCUAGUGUAGAGGUGAAAUUCGUAGAUAUUAGGAAGAACACCGGUGGCGAAGGCGACCCACUGGUCCGGUACUGACGCUGAGGUGCGAAAGCGUGGGGAGCAAACAGG